rnacentral:lncRNA from 1 species
AUGCUCGCUCCCAAGUUUCCCCCCGGCCCUCCCCACGGCUCCUCACCGCAGUGCCCUCCUCCCCGCCCCGCUGCUCAGCCCCGGGAGCCGCAACCGCCCCGCACCGCGGGCACCUCGCGCUCCACCGCCCGCCCCGGCGGCUCCCCCGCUGCCGGGGUGCGGGGAGGAGGGGGCGCAGCCCCUGUAACCCAAAGGGCAGCCCCGGCAGGCCCAGGCCCUCACCGCAGCGCUCCCCCCUUCCCCAAGCCGACCCCCAGAGCCGGCGGCGGGGACGGGCAAGCCCCUCCGCCCGCUCGCAGCCACCAUUUCCCCGCCGAGCCUCCCCGCCGCGGAGCCCCCCGCAGCCCCUCCAUGAGCGCAGCCCCCCCCACGGUCCCCACCGCCCUCCUGGGGCAAGGGGCUCCCCCUCCCCGCCGCACUCCGUCCCCUAGCAGGGAAGGGCAGCGACCCGCACCGGGGGACCCCUGCAUCGCCCCACCUGCCCCUGGGGGUGAGGGGGGACAGCGCUGCCCGGAGCCCCCUCCUCAGGCUCGCCGGGCACUCACCGGGCGGAGCGGGGCCGGGGAGAUGGAGGCGACCGGGGCACGGCGCGGCUCCGCCUUCCUGAGGUGGUGGCGGCGGUGCCGGUGCCGCCCAUGGAUGGCGGGGGCGGGCUCUGCCCCGGGCCAGGGCUGCGGGACCACCCCGGCGGGCUGCGGGAGGAGAGGGGAGGAAGAGGAGGAAGAGGAGGAGCGUGAGGGGCUUGGCCCCCAGGGGAGAGCCGGGGUGAGCCGGGAGGGGGGGCUUCGCCGUGCCGCCGCCGAGGGCACCCCGGGGGUCUGGCCGGCCCCCAGACCUGUUGCUGCUGCCCGGGCUCUGCAGCGAUGUCUCUUAGGAUCCCCCCCCCCUUUUUUUUUUGGAGUUCAGGCUGUUUUGCUCUUCCUAUCAAUUCCAUCCCUUAAGGUUACUUCCCUCAUUAGCUGCUGUAAGAGCGUCUCGGCUCACCCCUCCCGGGGAUGCCCUUAUUUCCUGACAAGGUUAUCGUGUCUUUUGGGACCGUGGCCAUGUUCCUAG